rnacentral:RNase_P_RNA from 1 species
GAAGCUGGCUAGACAGUCGCCGCUCACGUAAGUGAGGGGAGGAAAGUCCGGGCUGCAAAGAGCGGGAUGACGGUUAACGGCCGUCCGCCGUGAGGCGAGGAAUAGGGCCACAGAGACGAGCGUAUUAAGUUACGGUGAAACGCGGUAACCUCCAUUCGCAGCAAGACCAAAUAGGC